ACUUAAAUUGAAGAGUUUGAUCAUGGCUCAGAUUGAACGCUGGCGGCAGGCCUAACACAUGCAAGUCGAACGGUAGCACAGAGAGCUUGCUCUCGGGUGACGAGUGGCGGACGGGUGAGUAAUGUCUGGGAAACUGCCUGAUGGAGGGGGAUAACUACUGGAAACGGUAGCUAAUACCGCAUAACGUCGCAAGACCAAAGAGGGGGACCUUCGGGCCUCUUGCCAUCAGAUGUGCCCAGAUGGGAUUAGCUAGUAGGUGGGGUAACGGCUCACCUAGGCGACGAUCCCUAGCUGGUCUGAGAGGAUGACCAGCCACACUGGAACUGAGACACGGUCCAGACUCCUACGGGAGGCAGCAGUGGGGAAUAUUGCACAAUGGGCGCAAGCCUGAUGCAGCCAUGCCGCGUGUAUGAAGAAGGCCUUCGGGUUGUAAAGUACUUUCAGCGGGGAGGAAGGUGUUGUGGUUAAUAACCGCAGCAAUUGACGUUACCCGCAGAAGAAGCACCGGCUAACUCCGUGCCAGCAGCCGCGGUAAUACGGAGGGUGCAAGCGUUAAUCGGAAUUACUGGGCGUAAAGCGCACGCAGGCGGUCUGUCAAGUCGGAUGUGAAAUCCCCGGGCUCAACCUGGGAACUGCAUUCGAAACUGGCAGGCUAGAGUCUUGUAGAGGGGGGUAGAAUUCCAGGUGUAGCGGUGAAAUGCGUAGAGAUCUGGAGGAAUACCGGUGGCGAAGGCGGCCCCCUGGACAAAGACUGACGCUCAGGUGCGAAAGCGUGGGGAGCAAACAGGAUUAGAUACCCUGGUAGUCCACGCCGUAAACGAUGUCGACUUGGAGGUUGUGCCCUUGAGGCGUGGCUUCCGGAGCUAACGCGUUAAGUCGACCGCCUGGGGAGUACGGCCGCAAGGUUAAAACUCAAAUGAAUUGACGGGGGCCCGCACAAGCGGUGGAGCAUGUGGUUUAAUUCGAUGCAACGCGAAGAACCUUACCUACUCUUGACAUCCAGAGAACUUUCCAGAGAUGGAUUGGUGCCUUCGGGAACUCUGAGACAGGUGCUGCAUGGCUGUCGUCAGCUCGUGUUGUGAAAUGUUGGGUUAAGUCCCGCAACGAGCGCAACCCUUAUCCUUUGUUGCCAGCGGUCCGGCCGGGAACUCAAAGGAGACUGCCAGUGAUAAACUGGAGGAAGGUGGGGAUGACGUCAAGUCAUCAUGGCCCUUACGAGUAGGGCUACACACGUGCUACAAUGGCGCAUACAAAGAGAAGCGACCUCGCGAGAGCAAGCGGACCUCAUAAAGUGCGUCGUAGUCCGGAUUGGAGUCUGCAACUCGACUCCAUGAAGUCGGAAUCGCUAGUAAUCGUAGAUCAGAAUGCUACGGUGAAUACGUUCCCGGGCCUUGUACACACCGCCCGUCACACCAUGGGAGUGGGUUGCAAAAGAAGUAGGUAGCUUAACCUUCGGGAGGGCGCUUACCACUUUGUGAUUCAUGACUGGGGUGAAGUCGUAACAAGGUAACCGUAGGGGAACCUGCGGUUGGAUCACCUCCUUACCUUAAAGAA
rnacentral:rRNA from 4 species